rnacentral:misc_RNA from 1 species
GAAAUGCGAUAAGUAAUGUGAAUUGCAGAAUUCAGUGAAUCAUCGAAUCUUUGAACGCACAUUGCGCUCCUUGGUAUUCCUUGGAGCAUGCCUGUUUGAGUAUCAUGAAAUCUUCAAAGUAAAUCUUUUGUUAACUCAAUUGGUUUCUACUUUGGUAUUGGAGGUCUUUGCAGCUUCACACCUGCUCCUCUUUGUUCAUUAGCUGGAUCUCAGUGUUAUGCUUGGUUCCACUCGGCGUGAUAAGUUAUCUAUCGCUGAGGACACUGUAAAAGGUGGCCAAGGUAAAUGCAGAUGAACCGCUUCUAAUAGUCCAUUGACUUGGACAAUACUUUUAUGAUCUGAUCUCAAUUCAGGUAGGACUACCCGCUGAACUUAAGC